UACGUAGGUGGCAAGCGUUGUCCGGAUUUACUGGGCGUAAAGGAUGCGUAGGCGGACAUUUAAGUCAGAUGUGAAAUACCCGAGCUUAACUUGGGUGCUGCAUUUGAAACUGGGUGUCUAGAGUGCAGGAGAGGUAAGUGGAAUUCCUAGUGUAGCGGUGAAAUGCGUAGAGAUUAGGAAGAAACACCAGUGGCGAAGGCGCUUCUGGACUGUAAACUGACGCUGAGG
rnacentral:rRNA from 1 species